UGAAUACGAGACGCUAAGGCGUUGAAGUAGUGUAUGUCAUACUUCCAAGAAAAGCUUGCACUGUCAUAGAUAAAAAACGCCUGUACCAUAACCGACACAGGUGGGUAGGUAGAGUAUACUAAGGGGCGCGAGAUAACUCUCUCUAAGGAACUCGGCAAAAUAACUCCGUAACUUCGGGAGAAGGAGUGCCUUAUUUAUAAGGCUGCAAUAACAAGAUCCAAGCAACUGUUUAUCAAAAACACAGGUCUCCGCUAAGUCGUAAGACGAUGUAUGGGGGCUGACGCCUGCCCAGUGCCAGAAGGUUAAGGAAGUUGGUUAGCAAUAGCGAAGCUGAUAACUGAAGCCCUGGUGAACGGCGGCCGUAACGAUAACGGUCCUAAGGUAGCGAAAUUCCUUGUCGGGUAAGUUCCGACCCGCACGAAAGGCGUAAUGAUUUGGAUACUGUCUCGGAGAGGGGCUCGGUGAAAUAGACUUGUCUGUGAAGAUGCGGACUACCUGCACCAGGACAGAAAGACCCUAUGAAGCUUUACUGUAACUUGAAAUUGAAAUUGGACUUUAUUCGCGCAGUAUAGGUGGGAGGCGUUGAUUGUAAUCUUGCGGGAUUAUUGGAGCCAUCAGUGAGAUACCACCCUUGUAAUGUUAGAUUUCUAACUUUGAAUCAUUAUCUGGUCAAAGAACAGUUUCAGGCGGGCAGUUUGACUGGGGCGGUCGCCUCCUAAACGGUAACGGAGGCGUACAAAGGUUUCCUCUGAACGGUUAGAAAUCGUAUCUAGAGUGUAAAGGCAUAAGGAAGCUUGACUGUGAGACCUACAAGUCGAGCAGGGACGAAAGUCGGUCUUAGUGAUCUGACGGUACUGAGUGGAAAGGCCGUCACUCAACGGAUAAAAGUUACUCUAGGAUAACAGGCUGAUCUCCCCCAAGAGUUCACAUCGACGGGGAGGUUUGGCACCUCGAUGUCGGCUCAUCGCAUCCUGGGGCGGUAGUACGUCCCAAGGGUUGGGCUGUUCGCCCAUGAAAGCGGUACGCGAGCUGGGUUCAGAACGUCGUGAGACAGUUCGGUCCAUAUCCGGUGUAGGCGUUAGAAUAUUGAGAGGAGCCUUCUUUAGUACGAGAGGACCGAGAAGGACAUACCUCUGGUGUACCAGUUAUCGUGCCAACGGUAAACGCUGGGUAGCUAUGUAUGGAGUGGAUAACCGCUGAAAGCAUCUAAGUGGGAAGCCCACCUCAAGAUAAGUAUUCUCAUC
rnacentral:rRNA from 1 species